rnacentral:rRNA from 1 species
GAUGAACGCCGGCGGCGUGCCUAAUACAUGCAGGUCGAGCGAACGGACGAGAAGCUUGCUUCUCUGAUGUUAGCGGCGGACGGGUGAGUAACACGUGGAUAACCUACCUAUAAGACUGGGAUAACUUCGGGAAACCGGAGCUAAUACCGGAUGAUAUUUUGAACCGCAUGGUUCAAAAGUGAAAGACGGUCUUGCUGUCACUUAUAGAUGGAUCCGCGCUGUAUUAGCUAGUUGGUAAGGUAACGGCUUACCAAGGCAACGAUGCAUAGCCGACCUGAGAGGGUGAUCGGCCACACUGGAACUGAGACACGGUCCAGACUCCUACGGGAGGCAGCAGUAGGGAAUCUUCCGCAAUGGGCGAAAGCCUGACGGAGCAACGCCGCGUGAGUGAUGAAGGUCUUCGGAUCGUAAAACUCUGUUAUUAGGGAAGAACAUAUGUGUAAGUAACUGUGCACAUCUUGACGGUACCUAAUCAGAAAGCCACGGCUAACUACGUG